rnacentral:ncRNA from 1 species
GCCUGCGGCUUAAUUUACUCGACCCGGGAAAACUCACCCGGCUCAGACACCGUAAGGAUUGACAGAUUGAAAGCUCUUUCUCGAUUUAGUGGUUGGUGGUGCAUGACCGUUCCUAGUUGGUGGAGCGAUUUGUCUGGUUUAUGCAUGCGGUCUCAGGUGGAAAUUCUACAUUUAACAAGAGAGAGGGUAAAUUAUUACUCAAUCCAUUUCCUUCCGGAUGAGGUCUGGAUUACUCGCAGCUGUUCCGAAACCAAAGAUUUUGGAUGGAAGGUAAUUAUAGGGUAAGAGGUAUAUCCGCUUAAAAAAAACAAUGACAGUUCAGUACUUUUUCACACCGUCUGUGCCUCUCAUUCGC